AUGUACUUAUAUUUUCUUUUGUUCUUAAUUCUCUUACAGUUCAAACAAGCAGUAUAUAAACAGACCAUGAAACUCUUUGCUGAGCUGGAAAUUAAAAGGAAAGAAAGAGAAGCCAAAGAGAUGCAUGAAAGGGCUGACCGUCCCCACGCGCCCUGUAAGAACUGCGGCCUGCUCCUCCUAGGAAACGACAGCGGGAAGAAGAGAUUGAAGCUCAAGAAAAAGCCAAACGCGAGCGGGAGUGGCAGAAAAACUUCGAGAAAGUCGAGAUGGGCGCGUGGACAGCUGGCGGAACUUCCAAGCAAAUACAAAGGGGAAGAAAGAGAAGAAGAACCGGACCUUCCUGAGACCACCGAAAGUAAAAAUGGAGCAGCUGGUGUCGCCGUGACUUCAGAGACGAGCCUGGGCCACCACAGGAAGCCCCCUUGCUUCAGUCGCUUGCUUCCGGGUGUGCCAUCCUCCGAAGCCCAGGUCACAGGAAGGCAGAGUGGGCAGAGAGAGCAGUUACACUCGUGCCCUGAUGCCCCCACCCCCGCCUGGUGUUUGGCACCUGUCCUCCCGUCUGCCCGACCAAUCAGUGUGGCAUGA
rnacentral:lncRNA from 1 species